rnacentral:tRNA from 1 species
UAAGUGAAUGCCAAAGGCACCUAUUUGUUAAUUAGGCCCAUGCUAUAUAUUAGCUCGCUUAG